AGCCGAUGCGACUGGCGGUCUAUUUCCUCCCAGUACCGCCGCAUUGGCUGUUCCCCUCUGGAGGUUCAGACCUUCACACCUACAGGGCCCAAGCUUCGCUUGAGGCCCUUUUUU
rnacentral:sRNA from 1 species